CGGCGGCAUCCGUCGGCGGAGCUUCUCCUCGGCUGCCCGAGCGAGGCGGAGGAAGCAGAAGAGGCGGCGAGGAGGAAAAACUCCGGGACCCUCCAAAGGUGCCAGCCCAAAUCUGGGCUUUUAUGCCCAAGACCAGGGGUCUUCAAACUUGGCCCUUUGAUGACUUGUGGACUUCAACUCCCAGAAUUCCUCUACUUUGGACUCUAAAACUCCUUCUUGGACUGCAGUAACUUCUUGUUCCUCCAGAAUUCUUGGCAUUCUCCUUGCUUGCUAGAGCCACGUUAAGGGUCCUUUGGUCCACUCUGCGAUCCACAAAAGGACUGAAAAUGUUCUUCAAAGAGUGAAAAUGAGCUAAGAUCGGAUUCUGCAAUCAAGCACAACAAAAGGAUCUCUUUGUCCGCGGAGAAAGCCUCUGAUUUCACCAAUUUAUUUCUGAGAUCAACGGCCUUUGAAAGAGAAGUUCUCAUCUUCCAUGCUGCCCCCACCAAAGUAUGCGGCAACAUCAAGACAAUCACGUUGUAUGAACUCUUAAAGGCUGGGUGGAUUUUAGACAAACUCAAUUUGCUCAAGAUGGCUCAAAGAGUGAUUACACAACAAUGUUUUCUUCUUCAUCAAGGGGUCUUCUAACGCACAGAUGCACAGCCACAGUCUUGCCUGCAAUCAAAGCCAUGUUUUGACAUAUGGAGAAAAUGGGUGGGGUUUUUUUCCCCCUCCAUAAAACUGGGUUAUGGGAAAGACAGUGACAGGGAAAUACUUUUGAAAGAUUGAGUUGUUGCCCAGUCUCCCAAUGUAGAAACGUAGAGGCAACACAUACACACACAUAUACACACAGAGAGGGAGAGACAAAGAAAGAAAGAGAGAGAGAGAGAGAGAGAGAGAGAGAAAGAGGGAGAGAACGAAAGAGUGAAUGAGAGACAGAGACAAAGAGACCAAGACUGAGACAGGGAGAAAGGAAAAAAGAGAGCGAGAGAAAAUUAGAAAGAGAGAGAGAGAAAGAGUAAGAGAUUAUCUGAAAAAAAUUGGACGAACGUUGGAAUCUUAUGCACGAGAUAACCUAAAUAUGAAUACAGUGGAUCUUUCAGAACCCUUAGCAGAACUGAUAUUCACAUCCUUCAGCCCCAGCUCCAAAGUUUCCAGUUUUCUCUUACCCCCUUUCCAUCACUUCUUCCCUCUCCCCACCCCCCACCCCUCUGGUUUGAAAGCUUUUCUAAUAGGUAACACUAUCUGAAAUAAGUGCGUCUGACGUUCAAUGGGUGAAGCAUAAUGAACAACAGAAGUGAAAUUUCUGCCUUUCGCCCCCAUACAUGUGCCACGGUUUUUAUAGAGAGCAAGGGGCAGAAGUGACGGCACAGACCUACGGGUGUGCAGGAUGUGCGCUGCAGGUUUUAUCUCUCUGCGUGUGCCUGCGUGUUGGUAUGUGUGUGGGAGAAAGAGAGUUUGGCAAAAAGGUGAAGAGACCUUGAGGAAGGAGUGGUUGGUGAUGGUUGGUGCUUUGGGAUGGGGGGAAAAAAAUGGUCUCCAGUCUUUCCAAUGAGGUUGCCCUGCAGAUGAACUCAAUUAGGAGAUGAAAUUGAUCUUCUUCUGUGUUUAGAUCCUGCCGUGUUUGGUAGUUUAAUGGUAUCUGUUUACACCCAAACAGAGGAGACUGGAGAGGAAGAAGGCCUAAGAGAGAGAAGGAGGGGUGUUUGAAGAAGAAAAAGAACAAAUGUCUAUGGAGAUGCUCAGUCUAUCCAGGUCCUGGUUAUCCCAAAGGAGCUUUUUUCAGGAGGCAAUUGGACUGUCUUGUUUUUCUGUGAAGACGUUUCGCUUCUCAUCCCAGAAGCUUCUUCAGCUCUGACUGGAUGGUGGAUGAUGGUCAUUGACCAGCUGUCUGCGAGGAAUAGAAAUCCUUCCCUUCCCCACCGUCCAGCGAUUGCAACAAUUGAAUCAGCACAAAGAUAUCUUCAAGAGAAAUGCAAAAGAAAUUCUCAAGCCUACUGAGAAAAAAAUAUAUAUAGGAAAACAGAAGCCUUUUUUCCCAGGGAAAGAAAACUUUAGAAGCAUUCAUCAAAAAUAUCCAGACUCACAUCCAGACUCGGCAUUAUGUAAACAGAAAAACAGUAAACAUAUUUAUCGAUGUCUAUUUCUA